ACUAUAGUGUUGACAGUGUACUGCAGGUCUGUGUGGUCACAGGUAACUAUAGUGUUGACAGUGUACUGCAGGUCUGUGUGGUCCAGGUAACUAUAGUGUUGACAGUGUGCUGCAGGUCUGUGUCAUCACAGGUAACUAUAGUGUUGACAGUGUGCUGCAGGUCUGUGUGGUCCAGGUAACUAUAGUGUUGACAGUGUACUGCAGGUCUGUGUGGUCCAGGUAACUAUAGUGUUGACAGUGUACUGCAGGUCUGUGUGGUCACAGGUAACUAUAGUGUUGACAGUGUACUGCAGGUCUGUGUGGUCACAGGUAACUAUAGUGUUGACAGUGUACUGCAGGUCUGUGCGGUCCAGGUAACUAUAGUGUUGACAGUGUACUGCAGGUCUGUGUGGUCCAGGUAACUAUAGUGUUGACAGUGUACUGCAGGUCUGUGUGGUCCAGGUAACUAUAGUGUUGACAGUGUACUGCAGGUCUGUGUCAUCACAGGUAACUAUAGUGUUGACAGUGUACUGCAGGUCUGUGUGGUCCAGGUAACUAUAGUGUUGACAGUGUACUGCAGGUCUGUGUGGUCCAGGUAACUAUAGUGUUGACAGUGUACUGCAGGUCUGUGUGGUCCAGGUUACUAUAGUGUUGACAGUGUCCUGCAGGUCUUUACGGUCCAGGUAACUAUAGUGUUGACAGUGUACUGCAGGUCUUUACGGUCCAGGUAACUAUAGUGUUGACAGUGUACUGCUGGCCUUUAUGGUCCAGGUAACUAUAGUGUUGACAGUGUACUGCAGGUCUGUGUGGUCCAGGUAACUAUAGUGUUGACAGUGUACUGCAGGUCUUUACGGUCCAGGUAACUAUAGUGUUGACAGUGUACUGCAGGUCUUUACGGUCCAGGUAACUAUAGUGUUGACAGUGUACUGCUGGCCUUUAUGGUCCAGGUAACUAUAGUGUUGACAGUGUACUGCAGGUCUGUGUGGUCCAGGUAACUAUAGUGUUGACAGUGUACUGCUGGCCUUUAUGGUCCAGGUAACUAUAGUGUUGACAGUGUACUGCAGGUCUGUGUGGUCCAGGUAACUAUAGUGUUGACAGUGUACUGCUGGCCUUUAUGGUCCAGGUAACUAUAGUGUUGACAGUGUACUGUAGGUCUUUAUGGUCCAGGUAACUAUAGUGUUGACAGUGUACUGCUGCAGGUCUGUGUGGUCCAGGUAACUAUAGUGUUGACAGUGUACUGCAGGUCUGUGUGGUCCAGGUAACUAUAGUGUUGACAGUGUACUGCAGGUCUUUAUGGUCCAGGUAACUAUAGUGUUGACAGUGUACUGCAGGUCUUUACGGUCCAGGUAACUAUAGUGUUGACAGUGUACUGCAGGUCUGUGUGGUCCAGGUUACUAUAGUGUUGACAGUGUACUGCUGGCCUUUAUGGUCCAGGUAACUAUAGUGUUGACAGUGUACUGCUGCAGGUCUGUGUGGUCCAGGUAACUAUAGUGUUGACAGUGUACUGCUGGCCUUUAUGGUCCAGGUAACUAUAGUGUUGACAGUGUACUGCAGGUCUUUACGGUCCAGGUAACUAUAGUGUUGACAGUGUACUGCUGGCCUUUAUGGUCCAGGUAACUAUAGUGUUGACAGUGUACUGCAGGUCUGUGUGGUCCAGGUAACUAUAGUGUUGACAGUGUACUGCUGGCCUUUAUGGUCCAGGUAACUAUAGUGUUGACAGUGUACUGCUGCAGGUCUGUGUGGUCCAGGUAACUAUAGUGUUGACAGUGUACUGCAGGUCUUUACGGUCCAGGUAACUAUAGUGUUGACAGUGUACUGCAGGUCUGUGUGGUCCAGGUAACUAUAGUGUUGACAGUGUACUGCAGGUCUGUGUGGUCCAGGUAACUAUAGUGUUGACAGUGUACUGCUGCAGGUCUGUGUGGUCCAGGUAACUAUAGUGUUGACAGUGUACUGCAGGUCUUUAUGGUCCAGGUAACUAUAGUGUUGACAGUGUACUGCAGGUCUGUGCGGUCCAGGUAACUAUAGUGUUGACAGUGUACUGCAGGUCUGUGUGGUCACAGGUAACUAUAGUGUUGACAGUGUACUGCAGGUCUGUGCGGUCCAGGUAACUAUAGUGUUGACAGUGUACUGCUGGUCUGUGUGGUCACAGGUAACUAUAGUGUUGACAGUGUACUGCAGGUCUGUGUGGUCCAGGUAACUAUAGUGUUGACAGUGUACUGCAGGUCUUUACGGUCCAGGUAACUAUAGUGUUGACAGUGUACUGCAGGUCUGUGUGGUCCAGGUAACUAUAGUGUUGACAGUGUACUGCAGGUCUGUGUCAUCACAGGUAACUAUAGUGUUGACAGUGUACUGCUGCAGGUCUGUGUGGUCCAGGUAACUAUAGUGUUGACAGUGUACUGCCAGUCUGUGUCAUCACAGGUAACUAUAGUGUUGACAGUGUACUGUAGGUCUUUAUGGUCCAGGUAACUAUAGUGUUGACAGUGUACUGCAGGUCUGUGUGGUCCAGGUAACUAUAGUGUUGACAGUGUACUGCUGCAGGUCUGUGUGGUCCAGGUUACUAUAGUGUUGACAGUGUACUGCUGGCCUUUAUGGUCCAGGUAACUAUAGUGUUGACAGUGUACUGCAGGUCUGUGUGGUCCAGGUAACUAUAGUGUUGACAGUGUACUGCAGGUCUGUGUGGUCCAGGUAAAUAUAGUGUUGACAGUGUACUGCAGGUCUGUGUGGUCCAGGUAACUAUAGUGUUGACAGUGUGCUGCGGGUCUGUGUGGUCAAUCAGAUCAAGUCUUUUGACCAAUCAGAUCAAGUCUUUUGACCAAUCAGAUCAAGUCUUUUUGACCAAUCAGAUCAAGUCUUUUGACCAAUCAGAUCAAGUCUUUUGACCAAUCAGAUCAAGUAUUUUGUCCAAUAAUUGGGCAAAAUAUCAGAAUUGAGCUGCCUGUGUAAACGCAGCGUUUUUUUUUUGUCAAAUGCUGAUGUGAAAAGGGGCCUUAUGAAUAAAUGUGAUUUGAUUGAGAAGCCUCACAAAACAAUGACAUUAUCAACUAACCUGUUGUUGCCAGAUUAAACCAACUGAGAAGAACAUUUACAAUUCUUGUCGAUCCUAUACUGUUAACCCUAGAUACGUGUUGUUUCAAUUCCCUGUGUGUUUGUGUGA